UACCAAUCCCAAAGAGUGUCGUUUGAAUGAAUAGAAUGGGGGGUUUUAGAGCAUUUCCAAAAGAACACUAAAACCAAUCUGAAAACGCGUUUUGGGUGGAAAAGCAAAAUUUUCUCCGUCCAACAGUCCCCCCUUCCCCCAAAUUAUCAGCGUCCCGCAUCCUAGCUCCACUCUCCCUCAACUCAAAUAUGCGCGAGCGAAGGUCUUCCCCAAUCCGUCCUUGCUCCGCGAGAGGCAACAGAGUUGACAGGUGGAGGCGGCGCCAGUUGACGGUUACCAGUCCUUUGCCGUGAGAGGCACCUCAUCUCCCACCCCCAGACAACAUAGUCGAUGAGCGGCAGGAACGAGGCGCAGCAGAUUGGCCGACGACAAGCCGGGACCCCACCUCCACUGGUGGUGAUGAGCAACUCGCAGGCUUCGCUGGCGUCUGCCCCAAGCUCCCGCUUCGUCGUGGCAUAGAGGCCUUCUCGAAGCAGGAGCUAGACGGCCUCCAUCAACUGUUCGCCUCCCAGCACAGUCGCAGACCAGCGGCCACACCAUCUCACGCCCCGUUCAUGGCCAGGACACCAUCUUCUUGUUUUAGGGACUAGUUAUUAGCAUUAUGAUGUAGGUUUAGUUUUUUUAGAAGUUUUUUUUCCAGCAGCCCCCAAUAUGAUGUUUUUAGAAACAAAUUUUUGGUAAGCUCUUGGAGUUGCUCUUAGCCCCCUCAAUCCCCUUGCUUCCAAACAAGCCAUUAGUUAUUUAUAGGAGGUUUUCCCUCCCUGUUUUCCCUCCCCUUCCAAACUCGCCUUUAUAGUGAAUAUAAAACUGUGAUCGGGAGCCAUAGAAAGAUGAAGAUAUCUCGGUUGCAAAUGAUCAGCAGUUGGGUA